rnacentral:lncRNA from 1 species
CACAGGUCCGGAGCCCGGGCUGGGUGGGGCUUCCGAGCAGGGCUGGGCAUGGAGGGCAGACGUCAAGCCCGAGAGGCGGGGGCCCGAAGGAACAGAGGGGCUCUCCAGGGCAGGACUCCCCCAGAGGCUGGCGUUCCAGCCCCAUCAGCCCAUCCCUGCUCCCAGGGGCCCUGACGCUGUCGGGCAAGGGGCAGAAAAACCCCAGCCACUUCCUCCUGGUCCCUCAGCACAGCCGGCGCCAAGCCUGCUUUUGGGUCAACAACCCAGGAGUAAGGGAACCAGCAGAAUGACAAAGUUGCUUCAAAGGAGAAUGCAGACCAACUGACUGUAUAUACACCCUGUGAAAAAGGAGAAAAGGAAACGCUUGGGAUAAGACUGAUAAAUCAGACAGAGAACUGGUUAAGGUGCGGGGCCUGGCAGAGGUCAUCUGCAUUUUUACAGGAUAAGAUCAUUUACAUCACCAUUGGAAAAAAAAACCCCUGCAUCUUAUUAAUAACAAAGAUCAUGCUUAGUUUUCUACAAGUUAACUUCUGCCCUUAAAAGAGUAAUAGGAGUUCCCACUGUGGCGCAGUGGGUUCGUGAUCUGGGUGUUGUCUCUGUGGUGGCAAGGGUUCCAUCCCUGGCCUGGUACAGUGGGUGGGGAUCCAGCACUGCCACAGCUGUUUCACGGGCUGCACCUGAGGCUCGGAUUUGAUCCCUGGCCCGGGAACUCCCAUGUACUGCGGGGGGGGAGGGGGGAGAGAAAGAAAAACAACAAACAAACUAAAAAACAAAAAACAAACAAACAAAACCCAAUCUCAACAAACUGCCCAAAAAAGAGUAACAAAAUGCCCUUAUUUGGGGAGUUCCCGUUAUGACUCAGUGGGUUAUGAACCUGACUAGUAUCCAUGAGGAUGUGGGUUCCAUCCCUGGCCUUUCUCAGUGGGUUAAGGAUCUGGCGUUGCCGUGAGCUGUCGUGUAGGUCACGGAUGUGACUUGGAUCUGGCGUUGCCGUGGCUCUGGUGUAGGCUGGCAGCUGCAGCUCUGAUUUGACCCCUAGCCUGGGAACGUCCAUAUGCUGCACUUGAGACCAUAAAAAGAAAAAAAAAGCCCUUAUUUUAAAUAGCAAGUCAGGAGUUCCCGUCGUGGCGUAGUGGUUAACAAAUCCGACUAGGAACCAUGAGGUUGUGCGUUCGAUCCCUGGCCUCGCUCAGUGGUUUAAGGAUCGCAGACAUGCCUCGGAUCUCGAGUUGCUGUGGCUGUGGUGUAGGCCGGUGGCUACAGCUCCCAUUAGACCCUUAGCCUGGGAACCUCCAUAUGCUGCAGGAGCGGCCCUAGAAAAGGCAAAAAG